rnacentral:rRNA from 1 species
GACGAACGCUGGCGGCGUGCCUAAUACAUGCAAGUAGAACGCAGUUGGGAACGGGUGAGUAAAGCGUCGGUAACUGCCUCAUAGAGGGGGAUAACAAUUGGAAACGAAAGCUAAUACCGCAAAAGGGGAGAUGGACCUGCGUUGUAUUAGCUAGGUGGUGGGGGAAAGGCUCGCCAAGGAGACGAUACAUAGCCGCCCUGAGAGGGUGGUCCGCCACCCUGGGACUUGGACACGGCCCAGACUCCUUCGGGAGGCAGCAGUAGGGAAUCUUCGGCCAUGGACGGAAGUCUGACCGAGCAACGCCGCGUUAGUGAAGAAGGUUGUCGGAUCGUAAAGCUCUGUUGUGAGAGAAGCGGUAACUACCCAGAAAGGGACGGCUAACUACGUGCCAGCAGCCGCGGUAAUAC